AUACCUCAACCUCUGCAUUUUCUUGUAAAGUGUGGUAGCGUUGGAUGCUGAGCGCUGCUGUGUUCUACAGCUCGCUUCAAAUGUAUAAGCAAUCUUUGUACUACCCGGAUUGACUUGACGUGAUAAGAUCUUCGUCGAGGAUGCUUUUACAGCAGCCGGAUCGUAUACGAGUCGCUUCCAAACCGUGCACCUGGUGCAACACCCCUUUUAA
rnacentral:misc_RNA from 1 species